UUCUAGUGGAUGUUGCGGUCCCACCGAUGCUAUGUACCUCACCUAAUAGUUAUUAGUAACAUGCACACCAAUGCAUAGAUAACUCUUUGCCCAGAUACUUCUCUAAGUAUGUUGCAGUGACUUGGCCUCUAAGUCAUGUAGGCUCACCUAACAGUUAUUGACCACACUCCUUAGUUAAGCCCGACCCAUCAUUCACAAGCAGGUGCAAGGCCGUCAUUGGAUCCCUUACCUAACAGUUAUUAGGUCCAACCCCAUCCUUACCUUGGAGUAACUCUUUGCUAAUAGAGCAGUUGCAUGUUCCUGAUGCAACUGAACUACUGUAACC
rnacentral:lncRNA from 1 species